rnacentral:rRNA from 1 species
GACGAACGCUGGCGGCGUGCCUAAUACAUGCAAGUCGAACGCAGUGGGGACGGGUGAGUAACCCGUGGGUAACCUCCCAUCAGAGGGGAUCACACUUGGAAACAGGUGCUAAACCGAUACUGAUGGAUGGACCCGCGGUGCAUUAGCUAGUUGGUGAGGUAACGGCUCACCAAGGCCACGAUGCCUAGACGCGCGGAGAGGGUGAGCGGCCACACUGGGACUGCGCCACUGCCCAGACUCAUACGGGAGGCAGCAGUAGGGAAUCUUCGGCAAGGGAGGAAAGUCUGACCGAGCAACGCCGCGUGAGUGAAGAAGGUUUUCGGAUCGUAAAACUCUGGUGUUAGAGAAGCGGUAUCUAACCAGAAAGCAACGGCUAACUACGUGCCAGCAGCCGCGGUAAUAC